rnacentral:rRNA from 1 species
AGUGAACGCUGGCGGCGUGCCUAAUACAUGCAAGUCGAACGGAGUGGCGCGCGGGUGAGUAAAGUAUAGAUAUUCCGUGCUACACUAGAGGACAACAGUUGGAAACGCCUGAUAAUACUCCAUAGUGUAGGUGGUGGCUAUAAUGUAUCACCUAGUUGGGGAGGAAAUGGUUCACCAAGGCUAUGACGCAUAACAGGUCAGAGGGGAUGAUCAGUCACCCUGUAAGGGAGACACCGUCCGGACUCCUAGGGAAGGGAGCGAUAGCGAAUAGAGCUCAAUGGGGGGAGCUCAGAAGCAUCAACGCCGCGUAGAGGAUGUCACUUGUGGAGGCGGAGAGUCCUUUUGUUAAGUAUGCGGUACCUAACGAAUAAGCACCGGCUAACUCCGUGCCAGCAGCCGCGGUAAUUC